GUUUAUCUAAAAGAUUUGCGAUAUGUUAGUGAGUAAUAGGUAGUGGCACCAUUUAAGACAUAACAGUUUGAAUGAAAACUUAGCUUGAGAAAUGACAUUUCGAUAAACUAAAGUUAUUUUAAGAGAAAUACAGCAUAGUCUUGUUUUUGUAUAAAACUGCAGAAUAUAAACAAAAGCUUAUCUUGAGCAACUGAAAAUUCUUAGAUCACGCGUGAGAAACAAUGAUCAUAUUGACACAGUGAGUAUUAAAAUGGUUCUAUAGAAAAAGCAACGUUAAACUUUUAACGAUGUUAGAACUGUUGCAAUCUUUCUUCCAAAGCAUAUUUUUCAUUGCCCAUCAUACUUCCUACAAUACCUUGGGAGUUUAAAACAUAUUACCACCGGUUGAACGGAGAUUUUGCUUCUAAUUCUUGAGCAUUUUGAGCAAAUCUAGGUUUGCACGUGCUUGAUCAAAUCAUAUUAUUGAAGUGUAAAAUGAAAAUACUCUGGCUUCUGAAAGACAAUAAGAUCAUAGGUUUCCAAAUCACAUAAUAGCUGUUCAUGAGGUCAUCAUCACAUGAAGUAUAUGGUUCCCUUUCAUUUUCUUUACUUUUAAUUAUGCACAAAAACAAAAGAUCAAUGGACUAAGAGGAUAAGCUGUAUUAUAUAUUUUUUCAUGCUAGCAGUCAUAGAUUAUCAGAAUUCAAGAUUCCCAAUUUGAACUCUUGAGUUCCUAAAAUCUCAUAUGCAAAGGCCAUUAUGCUGGGUCCAUUUGGAAUUGAUGUUUGGGCUGCUUUUGAGAAAAGCAUUACUUUCAAUAUAGAUAAUUUGAAGCCACUAAAAAUUGUUCUUAACCACUACAAAUUGUUUUUAAGUUAAAUUUAACAUGUAUCAGUCAUAAUAACUCCAAAGCACCUAAACAGCCUCAAACGGCUUUUUCUAACAUUAUCUUAAAGCGUGCUCUCCAAAAAAAC
rnacentral:misc_RNA from 1 species